AGCCUCGACAAGACCUGGUUCCGUCACAUUGACAGCAUUGACGGGAAGCAGUUCAAUACAACAGGCUGCAGCUCCCGAACCUGCGCGUUUACUUCACUCUGCAGGAGCCACGUUGUAUCCAAUGCCUGCUACGUCUGUACCAGUAUUCGCAACAGAUGGGCUACAGCAAAGGACAAGAUGCAAUACAGGUCCGCAGCAGCCUAAGUGCUGUAACCCCAGCUGCGCAUUUCCGCAGCUACCGACCAAGCCGUGCCGCAACAACAACUGCUCUCAUGUGUUUCACCAUGUUUGCAGUACGCACGACAUGGGAACAUACUGCAGGCAUUGUCGUGUGAACGAUUGGUGAUGCAUGCUUGGGCGUUUGUGCGUAUGCCGUAUCCAUGCCAUCGACACGUGGACUUAUGUAAUAGGCCUUGUUAUUUAUUUGCUUUCCUGGAACCUUAGCUGGUACGCUCUCUUUGGCUUUUGUCUGUCACAUUAUUUAAAAGACUGGUGCAUGCGGGUGCGUCAACCUCAUGGCUGCGACUGGAUAUCACGAUAUGCCUCCGUGUGUGUGUGUGUGUGUGUGUGUGUGUGUGUGUGCGUGUGUGUGUGUGAGAGAGAGAGAGAGAGAGAGAGAGUAUGUCUAGGUAUACGUGCGGGCAUGCGUAAGGCUAAUUGUUAGAAGUAUGUGCAUGCAUGCUGAAGAUUGUGUUGGUGCUUCUCUCUGCUCAAGUAACUGUAUGUAGCUGGACUUGUCACGUUGUCUGUGUUGUGUACGCAUCACUUUGUCUGCACUGGUGCCGUGACAGUCGAUUGCUUUGAUUCAUGCUGGCUGGCUCUUUAUAUAGUUCCGUUGUACCGGCGCUGCAGCUAGCGUAGCCUGUGUGUGCAGCCCUAUAUGCACGUGCUGAGUUUACAGUCUUCUCUCGAGUGGUAAUUAUUAACACUAAUUCUGUUGGUGGACUCUGAGAAUGAAUACUUCAACAAUGAUCACUCCACACAACUGCGUUCUGGUGUGCUAUUGAGUUAAGAGGACAUAUU